rnacentral:rRNA from 1 species
UACGGAGGGGGCUAGCGUUGUUCGGAAUUACUGGGCGUAAAGCGCACGUAGGCGGCUUUGUAAGUCAGAGGUGAAAGCCCAGGGCUCAACCUUGGAACUGCCUUUGAGACUGCAGAGCUUGAAUCACGGAGAGGUGGGUGGAAUUCCGAGUGUAGAGGUGAAAUUCGUAGAUAUUCGGAAGAACACCAGUGGCGAAGGCGGCCCACUGGACGUGUAUUGACGCUGAGGUGCGAAAGCGUGGGGAGCAAACAGG